rnacentral:misc_RNA from 1 species
AAGCAGGAAAGAAAAAGCAAACAUAUACAAGAUAUACAAAACCAAAUACCUGAAAAAAUAUCAAAUUCUAUUUGAUAAACUUGGCAUAAUCACAGAGAACUAGGUAAAGCGUAACAUUUAAUUCUCUAGAAACCUAUUGGAAUGCACACAGUGCAUCGCUUCCUCGCAAAUACUUCCUUUAUUACCUUAGCAGAUGUGAAAAGAAAUCUAAGAACUAAUAAGGAUUAAAUUUGGGCUUCUAAAAUUCCUCGCUAGCUGGAUAUGAGAUAAACUAAUGACCACCUCCUAAUGUUCCUUUCUUCUCUUGCGACAGAAUUUCAAAUGUUUCUUAGAAUUCCUCUUGCUUCAGUCGGAUACCCUCACCUCAACUCCAAGAACUUCCUUCACCAACUCAUACGUCACAAAUGCAAUUGCUAUGGACGGGACCACCUAAAAAAAAUAAGAAAAAGAAAUAAUAUUUCCAUGCUUGACAAUCUCCUUUACAAUCCCACUUUUAUACAGUGCAAUAUGUUCUUUUCAUUUAUAAGAAAAGAAAUUAAUAGAUCAGUGUCAACUAAAUGCAUGCAAACAAUUAAAAAUGGGAAAGGGAAAUCUCUUAGCUAACAACAAUUUACCAUAAUACGGCAGUAAAACUAAUCUAUUAUAAGAAAGCACACUGACCUUCAUUGAAUUGGGGACCAAACCUUUAUACAGUGCUCCAAAUCCCUCAUGCCGAACUGUUUUCCUGAAGGCAUCAACCAUACCAGCAUAUUCAAGAGGCGCUUUACUCUUCCCAUCACCAGUGACAACUGAAGCAGCAUCCUUCCAGCCUACCAUUUGCAUUCUUCGCCGUAUAACAUCAAGAGGGUAAGCAACUGUCUGGCCAACAGUUCCAGCAGCUGCUCCACAUGCAAGCCUUGUUGUCACUCCCAACUCAUUGUCUUGAACUAGUCCAAAAGGAUUGGAUUUGAGUAACCAGUCUUUCAGGGAUUCAUACACAGCAAAGUUUAGACCCACAUAUGGUAUCUACAAGAAUCACAACACAUUUAGACAUUUCAGUAAAGAUCAAAUAUUGCAUGAAUUACGUUCAACAGGAAAAAAAAAGAUUAGAAAGCAUGACCUAAGAGAGGAACCAGAAACUUCAGUUCUGAUCCCACCAGAAAUGGAACCUAAAACUAAAACAGAAGUCUGCUUGCAUCAAAUGUCGAAUUUCACAGUGCACACGCACAAUAAAUGAUAAAUGAAAAGGCAUAGAAAUCUAGUUGAUUUACUCACUACUCCUAUGACAGAAGGCAACCAUCCUUUGUAUAAAGCCCGAGGACCUUCUUCCUUGAGGACUGUUGAAAGAGCAUGAAAGAUUCCUCUGUACUGGCGAGGAGACUUUUCUGUCUACAAAUAAAAUAAAAUUGUAUGGACAAACUUAAGCUAUCAUACGCCGAGAUGCAAAGGACUUCGCCACACCCGCAAAUCACCCACAAAGUGUAUGUCCCAUAAAUCUAUCCCCAAACAAUACCUGGACAGUUAGCCGUCCCCGAACCAUGUCCAUUGGGUAAGUUGCUGACAUGGCAAUAAUUCCAGCACAUGCACCAGCUCCAAGACGUAAAAGAGGAGUAAGCUGAGCAUCAUCAUUUCCAGUUUGCUGCCUGUAAA